rnacentral:rRNA from 1 species
GACGAACGCUGGCGGCGUGCUUAACACAUGCAAGUCGAGCGGUAAGGCCUUUCGGGGUACACGAGCGGCGAACGGGUGAGUAACACGUGGGUGAUCUGCCCUGCACUUCGGGAUAAGCCUGGGAAACUGGGUCUAAUACCGGAUAUGACCUCCUAUCGCAUGGUGGGUGGUGGAAAGAUUUGUCGGUGCAGGAUGGGCCCGCGGCCUAUCAGCUUGUUGGUGGGGUAAUGGCCUACCAAGGCGACGACGGGUAGCCGACCUGAGAGGGUGACCGGCCACACUGGGACUGGGACACGGCCCAGACUCCUACGGGAGGCAGCAGUGGGGAAUAUUGCACAAUGGGCGAAAGCCUGAUGCAGCGACGCCGCGUGAGGGAUGACGGCCUUCGGGUUGUAAACCUCUUUCAGCAGGGACGAAGCGAAAGUGACGGUACCUGCAGAAGAAGCACCGGCUAACUACGUG